ACCGAUCAGUGUAGCUGGUCUUACUGAUCGUAAGAUCUGGCUCAGGUACUGUGAACAUUUGGGUUCCAAUUAAAAAAUGUGCUGGAGUCAAAGCAUUAAAGUCAUCCGGAUUUUCAGUCAAUGGACAAAGAGGCCUCGAAUUUAAACACGCUUCAAUUUGCGCUAAAAGUGUGGUGAGUUCCUCAAAAGUUAAUGUCCCAUUUCCAACAACUCUUUUGAAGUGGUGUUUGACACUCUUUACACCAGCUUCCCAUAAACCUCCAAAAUGCGGAGAAGCAGGAGGAAUGAAAUUCCACUUUGUUCCUUGUGACGAUAAAACUUCAGCAACAUCUUUCCAGUCAUGAGUGGCAUCUUUCAAAAGACGAUACAAUUCUGUCUCAGCUCCUCUAAAAUUUGUGCCACAAUCGCUGUAAAUCUGACCACAGACUCCUCUUCGUGAUGUGAAACGACGAAAUGCUGCGAGAAAAGCUUGAGUGGUAAGAUCGCUUACCGCUUCUAGAUGAAUGGCCUUUGUUGCUAGGCAAACAAAGAUGGCCAAAUAACCUUUAUAAGUUUUUGCUCCGCGGCCUUUCCAAGCCCGGAUAUUGAUCGGACCGGCAUAAUCAACCCCUGUAUGGGAAAAUGGUCUGGAAGCAGUCACUCUGGGCGAUGGUAACUGUCCCAUUAGUUGAUAAGUUGGUUUAGUCCUAUACCGAUAACAAAUAGUGCAUUUAUGAAGAUAGUGUUUUACUGCUCGUUUGGUUUGAAAAAUCCAAUAUUUUUGCCGUAGAUAACUCAUCAUCAAUUGAAUGCCACCAUGAAGAGUUUUUUCAUGUGCGUCCUGAAGAAUCAGUUUGGUAAAAUGAUGAUUUGGAACCAAAAUGAUUGGAUGCUGUUGAUCAUACGGCAAGUUAGCAUUCUUCAAUCUUCCACCAACACGAAUAACUCCAUCAAGAUCUACGAAAGGGUGUAGAGAUGCCAUGCCUCUGGACUUUAAAAUGCCGUCAGGAAACAUUUCAAGCUGAGCUAAUUUUGCUAAUGUUUUGGCUGCAUCAUGAAGUUCCUUUGGUGAAAUCGGUCCAAUUUUCCAAUUGGAAUAUCUAUGAAUUAAUUCAUUGAUUGGAGGAACAACCUGUUCGAUGUGAUGCGCAUGAAUUUGUGGCUGUGUAGGAUGCUGAAAAUCCCAGACAUUCCGUAAAAAUUCAGGUCCGUUCCACCAUAACUUGUCAUCCAGCAAAGCCGAUGGUAGAACACCUCUGGAAACCAAAUCUGCAGGAUUUUGUUGAGUGGGGAUGUGUUUCCAUAUUUUGACUGUAGUCAGCCGUUGUAUCUCUCCGACUCUAUUCCGAACAAAUGUCUCCCAUUUGGUUGGCGAUGCUUGAAUCCAAGAAAGCUGACAUGAUUCAAUAGUUUGGCCAACAUAACAGCACCACAAAGUUCCAAACGAGGAAGACUCACUGGCUGUACAGGAGCAACUUUAGAUUUGGCGAUAAGGAGUUGCAUUUUCGCCAUUCCUUUAUCGUCUUCGACUCGUAGAUACACUGCUGCUCCGUAUGCUUUCUCCGAGGCGUCACUGAAACCAUGCAGUUCCAAACGAUACAGAUCACCAAUGGUUUGAACCCACCUUGGAAAUUGAAUUUUGUUAAUAAAUUGCAAGUCUUCGUAGAAAGCAUUCCACUGUUCCAGAAGUGACGAUUCAAUUGGUUCAUCCCAUGACAUUUUCUUCACCCACAAUUGCUGCAUGAACAUCUUCGCCUUUACAAUACAUGGAGCAAUCCAACCCAUCGGAUCGAACAGCCGAGCUAUCGUGGAUAGAAUAAAUCGUUUCGUCGGCUGCGGAUUGGAAAGCGAAUUAUAGCAAAAAGAGAAUUUGUCAACAGAAGGAAGCCAAUGGACACCGAGCGUCUUAACUCGUUCCGAAUCUUCUGACGGCAUUGAGAAUGUUGAUUCCCGUUCUCCUGUUGGAAUGCUCGAAAGUAACUCGUCAGAGUUGGAAGUCCAUUUCCCCUCUUCGAUCGUGUUUCCACCAGAUAUCAAAUCAUCGACAUACAUCUCUUCACGGAUCAUAUUGGCUGCUAGUUGAUUUUCGGAAUUGUCCUCUGCUAACUUCUGCAACGUUCGGAUCGCAAGAAAUGGAGCGGCAGCUGUUCCGAAGACAUACUUUGCAGGACAGCUUCGAUUUGUCAGCGUGAGCAUGAGCUACAAAGGAAUGCUUAUGUGAAGAGUUGCGUGACGUGUUGGAUGUACCCUGACAGUGCUGCUGAUCUACCGCUUCUAGUGUUCUGAACCUUGUCUCCAAGAAGGAUGUAAAUUCCUUGAAAGUCGGCAACUGCUUUGGUUUCUCUCUUUCGUUCAGCUUCUCUUCCCACAUUUGCUGUGUCUUGCCAGAUUUGCCAGACUGUGAAUCACUUGUGUUGAAGUGUAUAAUAAAUCUUUAAUCGACUCAACGCGCUCUUGUGACUGUGAUGGCAAAUUGAACAGUGCACUCAACUGGAUAUUGACAAGGACGCGAGGGUGAUCAUAACGAUCUUGCAAAAUCGUCCAUGCUUUCGCAUAAUUAUGGCCGUGAAUCUUCAAGGAUGAAAGCAACUUCUCAGCAUCGCCAGUUAAACUUGUCUUAAGGUAGUGCAUCUUUUGAAUAUCCGAAAGAGAUGGCUUAUUUUCGACAAGCGUCACAAAUAGAUCAUGAAAAUUCGGCCAAGACUCAUAACUUCCAUCGAAAGAAGGGACUUCUUUGGACUGCUGACUGCUACUGCCACCAAGACUUGCCAGCGAAUCCAGGAGUCUUGUUUGAAAAUCGCAGUAUUCUUCUCGAAAAUUUUCAUACACGGUUUCAGCCUCCGGUUGCUUCUUCGCAUCUUCAUCUUCAGCACUUAUAACCUCUUCAUAUAUUGCAGAGACAGAUUCCCACAACUCAUCCAAUAAUUUGAUUCGUGUUUGAACGUAAUUCACAUUAAUAGCUUUUCCUUUUUUACCAAAAUUGUCUAUGUCUUUUUUAAGUUGCUUAUAUUUUGCGCUUAAUUGUUUGCUCGCCAUAUUAAUUUAAUAUAAAAAGUAAUAUAAAAAAGUAAGGAAAUCACUUACUUGUUCUUGUAAAAUGGCGUCUGAGGAAGUUUUGCAGGUUAUCCCUCGUUGACACACUACAAUAAUUUGAUCCGCACACACUUUAAUAAUCUUUGAAAAAAAAUAUCGAUAUUA